GAGUUUGAUCCUGGCUCAGAUUGAACGCUGGCGGCAGGCCUAACACAUGCAAGUCGAACGGUAACAGAAAGCAGCUUGCUGCUUUGCUGACGAGUGGCGGACGGGUGAGUAAUGUCUGGGAAACUGCCUGAUGGAGGGGGAUAACUACUGGAAACGGUAGCUAAUACCGCAUAACGUCGCAAGACCAAAGAGGGGGACCUUCGGGCCUCUUGCCAUCGGAUGUGCCCAGAUGGGAUUAGCUUGUUGGUGGGGUAACGGCUCACCAAGGCGACGAUCUCUAGCUGGUCUGAGAGGAUGACCAGCCACACUGGAACUGAGACACGGUCCAGACUCCUACGGGAGGCAGCAGUGGGGAAUAUUGCACAAUGGGCGCAAGCCUGAUGCAGCCAUGCCGCGUGUAUGAAGAAGGCCUUCGGGUUGUAAAGUACUUUCAGCGGGGAGGAAGGGAGUAAAGUUAAUACCUUUGCUCAUUGACGUUACCCGCAGAAGAAGCACCGGCUAACU
rnacentral:rRNA from 1 species